GAUGAAGAACGUAGCGAAAUGCGAUAAGUAAUGUGAAUUGCAGAAUUCAGUGAAUCAUCGAAUCUUUGAACGCACAUUGCGCCCGUUAGCAUUCUAGCGGGCAUGCCUGUCCGAGCGUCAUUUCAACCCUCAGGGUCCCCGUUCCGGCGGGGAACCUGGUGUUGGGGAUCGGCCCGCCCCGUGCGGCGCCGUCCCCCAAAUUCAGUGGCGGUCUCGCUGCAGCCUCCCCUGUGUAGUAGUUACAACCUCGCAUCGGAGCUCAGCGCGGCCACGCCGUAAAACCCCCGACUUUCUGAACGUUGACCUCGGAUCAGGUAGGAAUACCCGCUGAACUUAAGCAUAUCAAUAAGCGGAGGA
rnacentral:misc_RNA from 1 species